UUGGGUAAAAGGGUAAAAGAUUGAAGUUCAUCUCUCUCACGCCGGUUUCUCUGCAACAGCGAUAUCGCUCUUACGCUGCCGUCUUUGGAUUUGCGUCUUGCCUCUCAUGUCGGUCUUCAUCACCUUCGUCUCUAUCCUUUGUCUUUUAUCAAUUCAACCUAUCUCUCUCUUCUGAUAUCAAUUUGGAAAAAUGGAAAUGGACUUAAGUGGUAUGAUUUAGUCAAAUGGAAUAGACAAAAGGGGGGCUGGUGUUACUUUUGGAAUAUGGGCAGAAAAUCAAGUGUAAAGCUUAAGAAAAGGGAUUACGACAAUCUUUCUCUGCUUGCACAUUGAUAAUGUAGUAGAACUCAUAGAAGAACUUUGCCACUUUGGAGUUGUUAAGACACAUGUAGUGAGACCUAAAGGAAAAUGCCAAGCUACUAUAGUUUGGCUGGAUGGUCUUGGUGAUAAUGGUUUGAGGUGGCUGACAACAGGUAGCUUGAUCUUCGAUGAUGGUCGAGAAAAAAGGGGGUUGUACCUGCAAGGCACUCUGAUGCCAAAGUAAGAAGGAAAACAAAGUUACAAUAGAAAAUAUGAGAGUUUGGAUAAAGUUUGAAUUAUCUUUCCCUCUAGAGGUAGAGGGCUAUUUAUAGUGUUAUCCUUAAUGUAGAUUGGGUCAUGUUAUAUUUGUGGGUCUGGGCGUAAAUCCAGGGCCCAAAAUAUAGGAAACUGUUGACUAGGUCUUAACUGGCCGGACGUAAGGAACUAGCCGUUGCCGAAGGAAGCCAAGCGUGCUCGGAUAGUCCUCAGUUAUGGGAGGCUUAAAGGUUAGUCGUGCCCGGUCGAAGGGGAUAUGUCCUCCAACUAGCUCUAUGGAUUGGACCAAUGCUUAUUGGACCGUUUAUACCUAAGAGGGAUUUGGGCCAAUUGAAAUAAUUGGCAUAAUCCAUAAUAUGGAUGUUGAUUUGAUGAAUAUUUUAAACAUCACUUAACUAAGUUUAUGGUGACUCUCUAUUUAUGUUAGGUAGCUUUUAUCCAUUACAUCUUUUUUAUAAAAUUAAAAUCAUAAUAUUAAAAUACGGGUUGAACUAAAAAAUACACCAGACUCAUUUUUCUUUAGCCCAUUAAACAAUCGGGUCGGACCAGCCCAUUUAAACAUCUUGGCCCACCAACCCGAAGCGGGUUAGGACGAGCCGAAGCAGGUUGGACCAAAUCGGCCUAUUUGACAAUUCUAAUUACCAUGUCUUUGUUUUGUAGAUAAAAAUUGAAAUAAAUGAUAUAUAUUUUUUUUUACAUAAUUAAUAACCUACAUCUUAUUUAUAAUUUUUAUUAAAAAAUUGUGUAUAUUAAAUAAAGAGUUAAAUAUGUUGGUGGUUUUCCUAAAUAUCUCAUAUUUCACUUUUAGUUUUAAAAAAAAAAUUCUUUAAAGAAUGGUUCUCCUAAAAAUUUCCAUCCACAUAUUUUAUCCCUCCCGUAACUUAGCGACUGUUUUUACAACUUAACAACCGAAUUAGCGACAGUUUUAGCGACAAUUUCUACUUAACGACUGAAUUAGCGAUAGAUUUAACAGGAGGGACCAAAAGUGUGGAUGAAAUUUUUUAAGAAGACUAUUAUUAGAAGAAAUUUUUAUAGAGACUAAAAUCACAUUUAAAUUAUUUAUAAGGAUGAAAAAUAUAGUUAACCU